GUGCUUAACACAUGCAAGUCGAGCGGAAAGGCCCUUCGGGGUACUCGAGCGGCGAACGGGUGAGUAACACGUGGGCAACCUGCCCCUAGCUCUGGGAUAACUCCGGGAAACCGGGGCUAAUACCGGAUACGACCACCGACGGCAUCGUCUGGUGGUGGAAAGUUCUUCGGCUAGGGAUGGGCCCGCGGCCUAUCAGCUUGUUGGUGGGGUCACGGCCCACCAAGGCGACGACGGGUAGCCGGCCUGAGAGGGCGACCGGCCACACUGGGACUGAGACACGGCCCAGACUCCUACGGGAGGCAGCAGUGGGGAAUAUUGCGCAAUGGGCGAAAGCCUGACGCAGCGACGCCGCGUGAGGGAUGAAGGCCUUCGGGUUGUAAACCUCUUUCAGCAGGGACGAAGCGCAAGUGACGGUACCUGCAGAAGAAGCACCGGCCAACUACGUGCCAGCAGCCGCGGUAAUACGUAGAGUGCAAGCGUUGUCCGGAAUUAUUGGGGCGUAAAGAGCUCGUAGGCGGUCUGUCGCGUCGGCUGUGAAAACUCGG
rnacentral:rRNA from 1 species